UGGGGAAUAUUGCACAAUGGGCGCAAGCCUGAUGCAGCAACGCCGCGUGAACGAUGAAGGUCUUCGGAUCGUAAAGUUCUGUUGCAGGGGAAGAUAAUGACGGUACCCUGUGAGGAAGCCCCGGCUAACUACGUGCCAGCAGCCGCGGUAAAACGUAGGGGGCUAGCGUUAUCCGGAUUUACUGGGCGUAAAGGGUGCGUAGGUGGUCUUUCAAGUCGGUGGUUAAAGGCUACGGCUCAACCGUAGUUAGCCUCCGAAACUGGAAGACUUGAGUGCAGGAGAGGAAAGUGGAAUUCCCAGUGUAGCGGUGAAAUGCGUAGAUAUUGGGAGGAACACCAGUAGCGAAGGCGGCUUUCUGGACUGCAACUGACACUGAGGCACGAAAGCGUGGGUAGCAAACAGG
rnacentral:rRNA from 1 species